rnacentral:rRNA from 1 species
UACGUAGGGUGCGAGCGUUAAUCGGAAUUACUGGGCGUAAAGCGUGCGCAGGCGGUUUUGUAAGCCAGAUGUGAAAUCCCCGGGCUUAACCUGGGAAUGGCAUUUGGGACUGCAAGGCUCGAGUGCGGCAGAGGAGACUGGAAUUCCUGGUGUAGCAGUGAAAUGCGUAGAUAUCAGGAGGAACACCGAUGGCGAAGGCAGGUCUCUGGGCUGACACUGACGCUCAUGCACGAAAGCGUGGGGAGCGAAA